UCUCAACCCCACCAGACAGGAAGCCACACAGUCACUUCUGGAGGGGAAUAGUCCUGUGAGCUGGGGAUGGAGGGCUGGGAGAGAUGGUGCAGACUGGGACCGGCCACUCCUUGGACGCCUGUGGUGGAGGGUCCUGUCCUUUACCAUGGCCACCAUACCUCUGGGUGUGGACAGCAUCUGCUGAUGGAGGAAUUCCCAGCAAUGUCCCUCUGUGAUGCAUGCGGUGACUUUCCAGGCACCUUCAGACCAGAGCCAGUGGUAGCACUGGCAUCUCAGUCUCCUCCUGUGGGGGCUGGCUCGGCCUGCAGGAUGGCUGGGACACCCUGGACAGCCAGCUCGGGCAUUGUCCUUGCAGAUCCGGGAUGUUCCAGGAACAGCGGUAUAAAUCCUGUUGAGAACUGGCCAGGAGAGACCAGGAUCGGACAUCGGUGGUAUUUGGCCCCUCUGGACACCGGUCUGCAGAAGGAGAGAGGCCACCCUGACGGUAUUCCAGGGCUAGGCCACCCUGACGGUAUUCUGGGGCUCUGGGUAGACUGGUCCCGGUCGGGCCUUAUCGCCAAUCAGCCGACCCGAAGGAGUUUAUCGGGAAAGCCUCUAGAGGUGGCUGGGAGUUGGACGGAGCAGGCCUUCUCCGAGCUGGCGCUUUCUCUGGGCUGGGUUGUGCUUCACUCCCGUUACCCAGAGCCCUGACAGCUGUCUGCACAUUUGUGGAGCUUCAGUGAGAGGCCAGCCUGCUAGAUUUCAAAACACUUGAAGCAUCAAGAACUAACAAAUGAGGGGCUGGGGAUUUAGCUCAGUGGUUCUGCCGCCUGCCUCUCAAGCACAAGGUCCCGAGUUUGAUCCCUGGCACCAAAAGAAAAAAAGAAAAAGAACUAACGAAUGAGAUUACAUCAAAUUAAGAGGCUCUGCACAGCAAAGAAAACAAUCAACAGAGUGAGGAGACGACCCACAGAAUGGGGAAAAAGUUUGCCAGUUAUCUCUCCAGCAGAGGACUAAUAUCUAGAGUAAAAAAGCAAAAACAAAAACCUAGACCUCCGAAAAUAAAGGACCCACUGGAAAAAUGGGCAAUGAAAACGCAUGGACACUUCUCCAAAGAGAUACAAAUGGCCGGUGAAAAAAUGUGCAACUCCCUGGACGUUAGAGAAAGGCAAAAUAAAACAACACUGAGAUUUUGUCUUCUAAAGAAAGGCCAUCAUCUGGGCCGGGGAUUUAGCUCAGUGGUUUCGCUGCCUACUGCGCAAGUUCGAUGCCUGGUACAAAAAAAAAAAAAAAAAAAAGAAUGGCCAUCAUCAUCAAGAAAACAAAUAAUAACAAACGACAAGGUGCAGGAGAAAAAGGAACCUAAAAAACUAAAACUAGAGAUUCCAUUUGAUCCAGUUAUCCCCUUCUAGAAUAAGUCAAAGACAUCGUAUUACAGAGAUCAAUCCAUGCACACCCAUGCUUAUAGCAGCACAACCUAUAAUAACUAAAUCCUGGAGGUGUCCACCAGCACAUGGGUAGAUAAAGAAAGUGUGGUAAUUACACACAAUGGAGUACUACUUUGCUAUAAAGAAGGAUAAACUCGAGUUGUUUGUAGGAAAAUGGAUGCACCUUGAGACCAUAAUGUUAAGUAAAAUAAAUCAGACAUACAGCUCAAAUAUCAUAUAGUUUCUCUUAUAUGAGAAACCCAAAAUAUAAAUAAUUUAAAGAGUGAAAUUAGAGAUAGAUAACAGGAAUCAGAAAUAGAUCUUUGGCCUGUUUCACUCGGUCUCAGCCAACUUCUGUAGCAUAGAAUUGAUUUUAGAAGUUUAAUCAAACUUUAAAUCUUAUUACAUGUCUUUACUAAAACAGAAUCCUUUCCACUGCUGGUGUAACAUCUGGUGUUCAUUUGGAAGCCAGCAUAAAGCACAGAAUGGAGCUUUUUGCAUCUGGAUCUGGACCUACACUCUUUUGAGCAUAGCCCUGAGGGCCUGGGCUCCCGCUGGGGCCUCAGGGAGGUGCGAACAUGGAGUGGUGGAG
rnacentral:lncRNA from 1 species